rnacentral:snRNA from 1 species
GCACUCACUUUGGCAGCACAUAUACUAAAAUUGGAACAAUACAGAGAAGAUUGACAUGGCCCCUGCACAAGAAUGACACGCAAAUUCGUGAAGCAUUCCAUAUUUUU